UAACUCCCAACCCCUGUGACAUACCUUAUGUUGCCUCGGCGGAUCAGCCCGCGCCCCGUAAAAAGGGACGGCCCGCCGCAGGAACCCUAAACUCUGUUUUUAGUGGAACUUCUGAGUAUAAAAAACAAAUAAAUCAAAACUUUCAACAACGGAUCUCUUGGUUCUGGCAUCGAUGAAGAACGCAGCAAAAUGCGAUAAGUAAUGUGAAUUGCAGAAUUCAGUGAAUCAUCGAAUCUUUGAACGCACAUUGCGCCCGCCAGUAUUCUGGCGGGCAUGCCUGUUCGAGCGUCAUUUCAACCCUCAAGCCCAGCUUGGUGUUGGGAGCUGCAGUCCUGCUGCACUCCCCAAAUACAUUGGCGGUCACGUCGAGCUUCCAUAGCGUAGUAAUUUACACAUCGUUACUGGUAAUCGUCGCGGCCACGCCGUUAAACCCCAACUUCUGAAUGUUGACCUCGGAUCAGGUAGGAAUACCCGCUGAACUUAAGCAUAUCAAUAAGCGGAGGAA
rnacentral:rRNA from 1 species